rnacentral:rRNA from 1 species
CGCGAAUUCGCCCUUCGGGGUGCAGCAGGCGCGAAAACUUUACAAUGCGGGAAACCGUGAUAAGGGGACACCGAGUGCCAGCAUCAUAUGCUGGCUGUCCAGGUGUGUAAAAUACACCUGUCAGCAAGGGCCGGGCAAGACCGGUGCCAGCCGCCGCGGUAACACCGGCGGCCCGAGUGGUGAUCGUGAUUAUUGGGUCUAAAGGGUCCGUAGCCGGUUUGGUCAGUCCUCCGGGAAAUCUGACGGCUCAACCGUUAGGCUUUCGGGGGAUACUGCCAGGCUUGGAACCGGGAGAGGUAAGAGGUACUACAGGGGUAGGAGUGAAAUCUUGUAAUCCCUGUGAGACCACCUGUGGCGAAGGCGUCUUACCAGAACGGGUUCGACGGUGAGGGACGAAAGCUGGGGGCACGAACCGGAUUAGAUACCCGGGUAGUCCCAGCCGUAAACGAUGCUCGCUAGGUGUCAGGCAUGGCGCGACCGUGUCUGGUGCCGCAGGGAAGCCGUGAAGCGAGCCACCUGGGAAGUACGGCCGCAAGGCUGAAACUUAAAGGAAUUGGCGGGGGAGCAC